CAUAAGUUCCAUAUACAUUAAUUCAUCAUAUUAUCAUCUGUUUCAAAUCACAAAACACAUCAUUUAACUAUAUCAACAACAAAGGUUAACAUACCCAAAACAAGCCAAUAUAUAUAAGGCAUUAUGCACAACACUUAGGCCAACUUAAAUGACCAAAUACAUACCAACAUUUUCAAGCGAAAAGUAAGCCAAAUCUCAUGGCUUAAAUCAUAAUUCAAAACAUAUCAUCAACUCGCUAGCCUAUACAUGGCAUAUACCAUAUUUACAAGUAUCCAAAAAUAUUAACAAGAUGAUUGAUAGUGUGAUGAUGUAUUCCCG
rnacentral:lncRNA from 1 species